AAAUUGAAGAGUUUGAUCAUGGCUCAGAUUGAACGCUGGCGGCAGGCCUAACACAUGCAAGUCGAACGGUAACAGGAAGCAGCUUGCUGCUUCGCUGACGAGUGGCGGACGGGUGAGUAAUGUCUGGGAAACUGCCUGAUGGAGGGGGAUAACUACUGGAAACGGUGGCUAAUACCGCAUAACGUCGCAAGACCAAAGAGGGGGACCUUCGGGCCUCUUGCCAUCAGAUGUGCCCAGAUGGGAUUAGCUGGUUGGUGAGGUAACGGCUCACCAAGGCGACGAUCCCUAGCUGGUCUGAGAGGAUGACCAGCCACACUGGAACUGAGACACGGUCCAGACUCCUACGGGAGGCAGCAGUGGGGAAUAUUGCACAAUGGGCGCAAGCCUGAUGCAGCCAUGCCGCGUGUAUGAAGAAGGCCUUCGGGUUGUAAAGUACUUUCAGCGGGGAGGAAGGUGU
rnacentral:rRNA from 1 species